rnacentral:misc_RNA from 1 species
AAAAAAAAAAAAAAAAAAAAAGGUCUUUGCGUAAGGUUUUCUUUAUCUAUAUAAUCAAUAGUUCCAUUCUUUUGUCGUGGAUGUUUUCCUCUAAUAUUUCAUUUUCUGUUUAUUUCAUCCGAACGAAUUUAAUAACUAGGGCCGACAAAGGUUUCAUUUCAGUUGAUUCAGCGCGUUCUCGCCGCUUUUGCUGACUAGUGGUGAGGAUGUCAACCCCAGCAAGGAAGAGACUGAUGAGGGAUUUUAGGAGGUUGCAACAAGAUCCUCCUGCAGGGAUUAGUGGCGCUCCUCAAGACAACAAUAUUAUGCUAUGGAAUGCUGUUAUAUUUGGGCCUGAUGACACCUCAUGGGAUGGAGGUAAAGUCAACUCUUCUACAUAAUCUGACUUGAAGGGGACAUUUUUGUAUUUGCAGCCUAUUUUCAUGUUUUAUUUGGGCAAAUGUUAAGUGAUGUGGGUUGCAUCUUGAUGAUAUCAUUGUCUUGCCUAUGUUCAACCCUCAACACAUAUUGUCUCAUGGCAACCCAAAACACAUAAUGUGCUAUUUGUUAGUUAUUGCUAGCACAUGUUUUAAAAAGUUUUGCUAAUGGUCAGUUGUGCUUUUGUUUAUUUUAUUUUAUUUGUUUCUGUAUUGUUUACCAUCUUCUCAGGUUAUAAAAUUGAUUUUUCUAAUUUAGAUGCUAUUAUGCCCAUAAUCUAUUCGGAGAUUAUUGUUGUUGAAUUUAUGAUUUAGUAUCUAGUAUCUAGACAGUUAGUUGCUUUAAGUUUUUCUUUCUAUCUGUUUGCCAUAUUCUUAGCUUGUUUUUCUACUUUACAUUCAAGGAUUUUGCUAGAUGCUAAACCAUCAUGUCAUGUAUGUGCUGGAUGGUAACUUAUUGCCCUUUGAUCUUACUCACACCAUUAGACUGGGUAUCUCCUUCAGUUGUUCUCUAGGUUUUGAUCCCUGCAUUAGACUGCUUAUUGUCCCUUAAUUUUAUAAUACAUAGAUAUUCACUUGGACCAAGAUCAGGAAAAUUAGUUGUGCUAUUUCACCAUCAUUCUUUACUUAUCUAAGCUUCACUUUUGCAACCUGCAUUCAGCUACGACCAACAUACCCCCAGUGUUUACCGCCAACAUAAUCUAAUUACUGGUUGGUGGUUACAUUCAUUUAGUGAUUCAAAUAAAUACCAAUUUAACUUAGGUGCAGUAGUGUCCAUCAACCUCUUAUUAAGAUGCAGAUUUAAUAAUAUUGAUGUUCCUUACUUGUUCUAAUUUGUUAGAGUGAUAUAUUUGAUACUUGAUUUCCGCUUCUUUGAUGGAACUCACUGAGAUUUCCGCUUCUUUGAUGCAGCUCACUGAGAUCUGUUAGCAAUUUUAAUUUGAGAGCAGUCUUUGCUUGAUGCUUAGUAACUUUAAGAUUGAUAAAGUGUCAUUGUGUUAAAGUUGGAAAUUAUCUUUCAUGGUGAUAUUGUCAUGAGGCAUUUUUAAUUUCAUAUAUGGUUCUUAUAUGUCUAGAAAACUCAUAUCUUUAUGUCUUCAAGUUGUUCAGGUACGUUUAAAUUGACACUUCAGUUUACCGAAGAUUAUCCGAAUAAGCCCCCAACAGUUCGUUUUGUUUCUAGAAUGUUCCAUCCAAAUAGUAAGUUGGACGCAAGCAGAACUUUCUCCCAUCUUUUAACAUCCCAAUUUCCAAUAAUGAUUCAUUUAAUUUGGAUGAGUGAGAACUGCAUGUAUAUCCCUGAAAAAUGCUGAUAUUUUGUCUAUUUACAUACUUUCUUUUGGGCUUGUUUCACCUCUCUGAUCUUUUGUUAAUGUGUGAGUGUCCAUGAGCAAUUGAAGUUGUCUAGGCAUAUAUUUUAUGUUUACAGGUGGGGUUGUCUGGGCAUACAUGUUAUGUUUAUUUAUAUUUUUAAGUCUUAUUUUGUUUUCUAUUUUCAAAAUAGAAAAAGUUCUAUAUCAACUGGCAACUUUAAGGGUGCGUUUUGAUUGAGGUUAAAAGGGGUUAACAGUUACCCCUUAACUGUUAAUCCCCUUUAACCUUGUUUGGUUGCUUUGAAUCUUUGGGGUUUAAUGGUUAACUCCUAAACCUCGUUCUAGAUUAAAAGGGGUGAAAGAGUGGUGGUUGAGAAAAAUUUAUUUAUUUAACUGUGUUAGCAUUUUGUCACAAUUAAAAUUAAUAAUAGAAUAUUAGAAUAAUAAAAUAAUAGAAAAAUAUUUAUUAAUAAAAUAACUAUUUAGUUAAAUAAAAUAUAUUAAACAUAAAUAUAAUUAAAAACAAAAGUCAAUUAUAUAUAAUUGUUCCCAGUUGCCUUAAUUGUUUAUAAUUACUAAUUACUUGCAUAAUGCACAUCUAUAAUAUGGGAUAUGAGAGAUUUGUUUCAUGUUAGUCAUUGGUUUUUGGUUCUAAGUUCUUCAAUUGGCCUUUUUCUUCAGUUUAUGCGGAUGGAAGCAUUUGUUUGGACAUCCUACAAAAUCAGUGGAGUCCUAUUUAUGAUGUGGCAGCCAUACUCACAUCAAUCCAGGUAAUAAAUUAUAUCUAAAUAAUUGUUUUGUAGUAAUUCAAUGAUCCACUGAAUGCAAGUAAUAAUGAGGACAGAUUUCAAAAGAAUUUUCUUCAAUACAAGUAUAUUAUCUUCCAAACAUCAAGUCACAAUUUAGAGCUCUACUCCCCUUACCUGAUAAAAGUAUAGUCAAAAGUUUUUCUUUUCUUCUCAAUCAUUACUGUUGCACCAAGUCGUGUGUUCCACCCUGCUGAUUAGUAUGUGGCGUCUCUCACUUGGAUGUGCUGUUAGUUUUUUUUUCAUCCUUGUGUUUUACUAUUUAUCAAAGUAUAGGCACACAAAUUUUCUGACUAUUUGAAGGUAAUUAAUUGAAUGAUUAUUAUUGUUUUAUUGUAGUCAUUGCUCUGUGACCCAAAUCCAAACUCCCCUGCAAAUUCAGAAGCUGCACGGAUGUUUAGUGAGAACAAGCGCGAAUAUAACAGGAGAGUACGGGAAAUUGUUGAGCAGAGUUGGACUGCUGACUAGUUCUCCUAGUUUGGCAGAAGAACUUGAAAAUUGUCCCCUGCGUUAUUUAAAUAACAUUGAACUUGAAUUUGUGGUUGUCUAUACCCGUUGUUAUAUGGUUGCUACUAGGCUUAUAAGGAUGGAUGUUUGGCCGUUCUAUUGCAAUGUUUCUUGUACUUGCUUAUGUUGCCUUUCUGUUUGCAGUUUACGUUUGGAAAAGAGAAGAGAGGACAUAAUUUUCUUUUCAUUGUUUCUCUGCUUCCUCCGAAACAGAGUCUAACUAGCCUAGCAGGGACAAUGUUUGCAUGUCUUUUUGGCUAAAGAAGAUGGAAAGAAAGGUACAAGGAACAAAAUGGAAUUCAUGAAUUUAAACAGUUUUAAGAGGGAUUCACCAUCGCUUUUGAUGGGCACCUGCAACUUGUGUACCUUGUUAUGAAUUUUCAGUAAGUAUAUUUAGUUGAAUGAAUUUUUAAACAUCUUUUUAAUUAAAAAAAAGACUAUAAUUUUGCUAUCAAUGUAAUUAAAGUAUGUACGGUAGGAAAACUUUU